GCCGGGGGUGUCUAUAGCUCUGUAUCAUUGAAUGAAAUAUGUAAAAAUAAUCUGUUCAAGAAUCAAAGUAGUAUAUCGAAAUAUACAUCUUUGUAUCGAUAUAUAUGCUUUCGUAUUGAAACUUAUUAAUAAUAUUUUUUUCUUCAUUAUAAGAUGCUGGAACAUCUGGCUCUCAUGUACCAGCUACUAGAAAGGAUGUACAAGAGCAGGAAGAGGAUGAGGGGGA
rnacentral:lncRNA from 1 species